CGAAACCAGGUGAUCUACCCUUGGUCAGGUUGAAGUUCAGGUAACACUGAAUGGAGGACCGAACCGACUUACGUUGAAAAGUGAGCGGAUGAACUGAGGGUAGCGGAGAAAUUCCAAUCGAACCUGGAGAUAGCUGGUUCUCUCCGAAAUAGCUUUAGGGCUAGCCUCAAGUGAUGAUUAUUGGAGGUAGAGCACUGUUUGGACGAGGGGCCCCUCUCGGGUUACCGAAUUCAGACAAACUCCGAAUGCCAAUUAAUUUAACUUGGGAGUCAGAACAUGGGUGAUAAGGUCCGUGUUCGAAAGGGAAACAGCCCAGACCACCAGCUAAGGUCCCAAAAUAUAUGUUAAGUGGAAAAGGAUGUGGCGUUGCCCAGACAACUAGGAUGUUGGCUUAGAAGCAGCCAUCA
rnacentral:rRNA from 1 species